rnacentral:lncRNA from 1 species
ACAACGAUCCCAAACUGCCUGCGCUUGUCUCCUCUGUGCCCUCCACGUCCUUUCUGCUCCCACGGCCCAGGCCCCAGUGCAUGCCAUCACGCCUGACUAAUUUUACCUUUUGUAGAGAUGAGGUCCCUCUGUGUUGCCAAAGGUGGUCUAGAACUCCUGGGCUCAAAUGAUCCUCCCCCAUCCCUGGGCCUCCCAAAGUACUGGGAUUACAGGUGUAAGCCAAUGCACUCAGCCCCAUGUUACUUAAUAGAAAGGUUUUUCUUCCCCUUUUUCCUGCAACCUUUGCUGCUCUCACAGGGGAUUUCUAGCAUCCCUAAGCUCUGGUCUCCAGUCUGAGGAAGUUGUGCUGCCUGUAUGUGACAAGAGAAAUAAGAUGUUGGCACAUGAAUAGGAUGUUCGCCCUUUGGUG